rnacentral:rRNA from 1 species
UACGGAGGGGGCUAGCGUUAUUCGGAAUUACUGGGCGUAAAGCGCACGUAGGCGGACUGACAAGUCAGAGGUGAAAUCCCAGGGCUCAACCUUGGAACUGCCUUUGAAACUGUUAGUCUUGAGGUCGUGAGAGGUGAGUGGAAUUCCGAGUGUAGAGGUGAAAUUCGUAGAUAUUCGGAGGAACACCAGUGGCGAAGGCGGCUCACUGGCACGAUACUGACGCUGAGGUGCGAAAGCGUGGGGAGCAAACAGG